CUUCACUCCACAGCCCGAUCAAAUUUUUUCAGUUCAUCAAUCAAAUUAAAGAUCAUCUCCAAUCACGAUGACCACCACCAUCCACAUCUCCGCCCUCGACGGUAUCAUCAAUGUGAACUCCCUCUUCACUUUCGCCGUCUUCGUCGGUCUAGCCUGGAACCCAACGGAUCCUAACAGCUCCCUUGUCAACGAUCCCACCUCCCCUUGCGCCGCCGGCCCUUCCAUUGUUGAGAACAUUGUCUCCUUUCAUGUUUUCUCCUUCAGCUCCUUCCUCUUCUCCAGCUUGAUCGCUCUUGCGCUGAAGCAAGCUCUUCGGAUUUCCAAAACCUCCGGUUCUCGCGCUCAUUCCAAUCACUUAGCCGAGUUCUUCGUGCUCGUGAACAAGAAUUCGUUUCGGGCCGGGAUGCUAGCUUCGGGUGUUGGGUCGGUUGUUGGGAGCGUGUUCUUGAUGCUGGCGUUGAUUAAUGUGGUUCAGUUCAAGCUCGGAACUUUGGCUUGUGGAAGUGGGGAUAGUUUCGCUGCUGUUGUGCCUCUUGUGAUUUUUGUCUCUAGUGCUCUCUUGAUUUAUUCGUGUAUCGUUUUGUAUGCUUUUUUUGGUUGCUAAUCUUUAUUUUUUAG
rnacentral:misc_RNA from 1 species